CGGGGGGCUGCAGUGGGGAAUCUUGCGCAAUGGGGGAAACCCUGACGCAGCAACGCCGCGUGGGUGAUGAAGGCCUUCGGGUCGUAAAGCCCUGUCAGGUGGGAAGAAACAUGUCGAUGCGAAUAACAUCGGCAUUUGACGGUACUACCGGAGGAAGCACCGGCUAACUCCGUGCCAGCAGCCGCGGUAAUACGGAGGGUGCAAGCGUUGUUCGGAAUUAUUGGGCGUAAAGCGCGUGUAGGCGGUCGAGUAAGUCAGAUGUGAAAGCCUUCCGCUCAACGGAAGAAGUGCAUUUGAAACUGCUUGACUAGAGUACGGGAGAGGAGAGUGGAAUUCCCGGUGUAGAGGUGAAAUUCGUAGAUAUCGGGAGGAACACCAGUGGCGAAGGCGGCUCUCUGGUCCGAUACUGACGCUGAGACGCGAAAGCGUGGGGAGCAAACAGGAUUAGAUACCCCUGUAGUC
rnacentral:rRNA from 1 species